rnacentral:tRNA from 1 species
GGGCCCGUAGCUCAGCUGGUAGAGCAGUUGACUCUUAAUCAAUUGGUCGCAGGUUCGAGUCCUGCCGGGCCCG